rnacentral:rRNA from 1 species
GUGCCAGCCGCCGCGGUAAGACGGAGGGUGCUAGCGUUGUUCGGAAUCACUGGGCGUAAAGGGCGCGUAGGCGGCUUUGGCAGUCGGCUUCGUGAAAGCCCGGGGCUCAACCCCGGAGGUGCGGCCGAUACACCAAGGCUGGAGGCCGGAAGAGGAGGGUGGAAUACCCAGUGUAGAGGUGAAAUUCGUAGAUAUUGGGUGGAACACCGGUGGCGAAAGCGGCUCUCUGGUCCGGUCCUGACGCUGAGGCGCGAAAGCGUGGGGAGCAAACAGGAUUAGAAACCCCAGUAGUCC